AGAUGUGAGGGUGAUCUGGUUGCAACAUCCAUCACCCCCUUGAUCACCAGGGUUGAUUCAGCUGAUCUGGCUGGCUAGGUGGGUGUCCCCUUCCCCCCUCACCACUCCAUGUGUGUCCCUCCUGAAGCUGCGUGUCCCAUCAAAGAGGAUGGAAGGCCUUCCCCAAAUAGAGAUGACCCAUCUUCGGUCGAGGAUAUACGAGUAGCUGUGCUCCUCUGCUAGAACCUCCAAACAAGCUCUCAAGAAGUCUGGCCCAAGGUCUUUAUUUUUUAUCCCGGAAUCCAAGCUCUUAAACCUCCAAAUGAAUGCUGACUCUGCAUAGUCAUUGGAAUGCUUUCAUUUGCAAGUAACA
ensembl:misc_RNA 7SK 7SK RNA